UACGUAGGGUGCAAGCGUUGUCCGGAAUUAUUGGGCGUAAAGAGCUCGUAGGCGGUCUGUCGCGUCUGCUGUGAAAGCCCCCGGCUCAACUGGGGAGGGUCACUCGAUACUGAUCGACUCGAAGGCAGGAGAGGGAAGCGGAAUUCCCGGUGUAGUGGUGAAAUGCGUAGAUAUCGGGAGGAACACCAGUGGCGAAGGCGGCUUUCUGGCCUGUUCUUGACGCUGAGGCACGAAAGUGUGGGGAUCAAACAGG
rnacentral:rRNA from 1 species